UACGUAGGGUGCAAGCGUUGUCCGGAAUUAUUGGGCGUAAAGAGCUCGUAGGCGGUUUGUCGCGUCUGCUGUGAAAACCCGAGGCUCAACCUCGGGCCUGCAGUGGGUACGGGCAGACUAGAGUGCGGUAGGGGAGAUUGGAAUUCCUGGUGUAGCGGUGGAAUGCGCAGAUAUCAGGAGGAACACCGGUGGCGAAGGCGGGUCUCUGGGCCGCAACUGACGCUGAGGAGCGAAAGCAUGGGGAGCGAACAGG
rnacentral:rRNA from 1 species